rnacentral:rRNA from 1 species
UACGAAGGGGGCUAGCGUUGUUCGGAAUCACUGGGCGUAAAGGGCGCGUAGGCGGCUUUGUAAGUCGGGGGUGAAAGCCUGUGGCUCAACCACAGAAUUGCCUUCGAUACUGCAUGGCUUGAGACCGGAAGAGGUUAGUGGAACUGCGAGUGUAGAGGUGAAAUUCGUAGAUAUUCGCAAGAACACCAGUGGCGAAGGCGGCUGACUGGUCCGGUUCUGACACUGAGACGCGAAAGCGUGGGUAGCAAACAGG